AGCCUACUCCUCGAAUGGUUGAACUCGGGAAUGACUCGUUGGCUCAUCCGGGAAUGGAAGAGGCUCUCUUCAUCACCAUUGUUGCAAGCUCGAAGCUUUCGAUCGAAGGCGGCACUGGAAGCCCUAACCAAGGCUUCAGAGGAAAGAGUCCCAAACAUCGUGCUCUACAACUACCCGUCCUUCUCUGGAGCCUUCUCUGCUCUCUUCGCUCGCCUCUUCCAUUCCCAUCUCAACCAUCCCUGCCUCAUCUUGCCUUUCUCUUCCGUCGAGCCAUUCAGGGCUGAGGAUUUCUUUGUGGAAGGGCUUGAGAAGUGCUACUUUCUCGAUUUUCUUGGGCCGAAAGGAUUUGCGAUUGAGUUGUCGCGGCAAUCAUCAUGCCAUGUUAUAGGCUUCGAUCACCGAAAGUCAGCACAUUCAAAGGUUCCUUCCCCGGAAGAUUGUAUUGAGAACGUUACAUGCUUUGUUGAUAUUGAGAAGAGUAGCUCAACCGCUGUCUAUGAAUAUUUUUCUGCUGGCCUUGCAGAUUUAAAAUCUCCUGAUGGAGAAGUUGUGAGCUUAAUAAGGCCAAAAGACCAACAUCGCGUGGAAAUGGUUCUCAAGUACCUGGCGGAUGUGGACCUGCGCCAAUGGAACUUACCAGACAUAAGAGCAUUUAACAUUGGACUUGGUGAAUGGCGCUCAAAGUUGAACUGCAUUACUAAUCCAUACAUGUAUGAGCAGUUGCUGGAGAUAAGUUCCGUGGAUUUAAUUUCCAAAGGAAAUUCUUAUAUUUCUUCUCGAAUGAGUGCUUCAAAGAAGUUGCUGGAUAAGGUUUUCAAAGUUCGAUUGGGCAGAGGAUUUUAUGGAGUGUGUCUGGGUGUUAGGGUUGAAGGGAAUUCCAACUUAAGCAAUGAAAUAGGCAAGCAACUGAGUGAAAAGAGUGCUGCAGCUGGUUUGAGGCCCAUAGGAGCUGUUAUUUUCAUGCAGCGCAAUAAUCUGAAAAUGUGCUUGAGGAGUACUGAUAGUGCUACUGAUACCUCUGAAGUGGCAAAGGCAUAUGGUGGAGGUGGCUCCAUGAGUUCAAGCUCCUUUAUGAUAAGGAUGGAUGAAUUUAAUCAGUGGCGUUCGUCAUGAACAUUUAGGGGAGGAGGUUAUAUCAAGCCCAAGCACAUUAAUUAGCUUCAAUUAAGGUUUGGCUGUUUUUAAGCUUCAGAUCAAUAUAUCUAAGCUGGACGAAGGAUAGGAGAGGGGGAAAAGCAGCAAAACGCAAAGAAAAGCAAAAGAAAUGAAGCAGAUUCCAGGAGAUAAGGUGUGGGCAGGGCGUAACAGUGUGUGGCCGUUAUGGCUCCGUAACUGCCGUUACGGCCGUGUACUUUGAGCUCGCCACAUUAGCAGCCUGUAAUGGUGUCGGAGCCUUCAAAAAUACAUUACCUAUGUUGUUUAAUGCCAUGCACCACUAUCCGUUGUCUUGCUGUGGCCUGAUACAAAGGUCUCCUCCAUCCCCCAGCGUGCAUGUGCACUAGCAUCUGUCUUGCGUGGAGUAUCAAACUGGUACGCAACUUGGACAAGGACAUGCGGUGAAUUAUUGAGCCAACAGGACAUGGUCAUUGCCCAGAAAAAGCCAUAAAUUAUGAUUACCCUGCUGUGACUGCACAAAUACUUCGCCAUUUUUAGGGCCAUAAUUUCAUAAUGUCUUCCCCCACUGCCUCAGCCCUAGUUAGUUUUGGUCUUCCACCUUUUUCUUUCACACUUUGCUCCUCUGCACACUAUGGUUAUUGAAGCAUUACACACACUUGAUAAGCGCAUCUUCACUUCAGUACUUUGCUCCUUUUUAUAGGCAAUGAUCCCUCCAAUCUCCCCUAUGAAUUUUUGUUCUAAGAUAAGUAAAGCGGAUGCUUUUGGGCAAUUCCCAUUAUUCCUUCAAUUUCUAUACCUUCUACUGUUAAAAGUGCAA